rnacentral:rRNA from 1 species
GUUUGAUCAUGGCUCAGAUUGAACGCUGGCGGCAGGCUUAACACAUGCAAGUCGAGCGGGGGAAGGUAGCUUGCUACUGGACCUAGCGGCGGACGGGUGAGUAAUGCUUAGGAAUCUGCCUAUUAGUGGGGGACAACAUCUCGAAAGGGAUGCUAAUACCGCAUACGUCCUACGGGAGAAAGCAGGGGAUCUUCGGACCUUGCGCUAAUAGAUGAGCCUAAGUCGGAUUAGCUAGUUGGUGGGGUAAAGGCCUACCAAGGCGACGAUCUGUAGCGGGUCUGAGAGGAUGAUCCGCCACACUGGGACUGAGACACGGCCCAGACUCCUACGGGAGGCAGCAGUGG